rnacentral:rRNA from 1 species
CCCUUAGAUGUUCUGGGCCGCACGCGCGCUACACUGAUGCAUUCAACGAGUCUAAAACCUGGUCUGAUAGGGCUGGGUAAUCUUUUGAAAGUGCAUCGUGAUUGGGAUAGAUGAUUGCAAUUCUUCAUCUUCAACGAGGAAUGCCUAGUAAACGCAAGUCAUCAGCUUGCAUUGAUUACGUCCCUGCCCUUUGUACACACCGCCCGUCGCUCCUACCGAUUGAAUGAUCCGAUGAAUACCAUGGAUUGAGAGUUCGAAUAGGUUCGCCUAUUUCAGCUUCUCGAGAAGUGGGGUAAAUCUUAUCAUUUAGAGGAAGGAGAAGUCGUAACA